rnacentral:lncRNA from 1 species
CUACCUUAGCUAAAUCUUUUUCGACUUAGUUUGGUUCGAGAAUUAGUAGGAACUAGUUAUAUCAGGGUUAGAUACAAGUAUUAGUUUUUGUAAAAAUAAGGGUAUUUUUUUGUUUGAAUGAAAAUGUCAGUAUAAGCUGAAACUAAAAAAAUUAUGUUUGGAUGGUUAUUGGGAAUAAGAAGAAUAGUUAUUAGUUAUAAAUAGAAAAUAAUGAUAUUACCCCUAUAAUUGAAUUUAAAUUUUUAAAUUUUAAACUUAUAAUUUUAAAUUGAAAAUUAAAAAUUUUAACUUUUAAAUUUUAAAAUUUGAAAUUAAAAUUUAAAAUUUUAAUUUUUAAAAUUUAAAUUUUAAAUUUAAGAGAAAUUUAAAUGUCAAAGAUAUAAAAUAGCAAAUUUAAAAUUUAAAAACUAAAAAUAUCAAAUUUAUAAUUUAUAAUUUAAAAAUAUCAAAUUUAAAAUUUAAACUUUAAAAUUUAUAAUUUUAAAUUAUAAAUUUAAAUUUUAAAAUUAUAAAUUUUAAAAAUUUAAAUUUAAAUUUAAAAUAAAUCUCUCUCUCUCUCUCUCUACCCGGGGGCUAGGAAC